rnacentral:rRNA from 1 species
CCUACGAGAGGCAGCAGUGGGGAAUCUUGCACAAUGGGGGAAACCCUGAUGCAGCGACGCCGCGUGAGUGAAGAAGUAUUUCGGUAUGUAAAGCUCUAUCAGCAGGGAAGAAAAUGACGGUACCUGAUUAAGAAGCCCCGGCUAACUACGUGCCAGCAGCCGCGGUAAUACGUAGGGGGCAAGCGUUAUCCGGAUUUCCUGGGUGUAAAGGGAGCGUAGACGGCAGCACAAGUCUGGAGUGAAAUGCCGGGGCUUAACCCCGGAACUGCUUUGGAAACUGUGCAGCUAGAGUGGAGGAGAGGUAAGUGGAAUGCCUAGUGUAGCGGUGAAAUGCGUAGAUAUUAGGAGGAACACCAGUGGCGAAGGCGGCUUACUGGACUGUAACUGACGUUGAGGCUCGAAAGCGUGGGGAGCAAACAGGAUUAGAUACCCCUGGUAGUC